rnacentral:rRNA from 1 species
GGCUACGGCCAUAUCACGAUGAAUGCACCUCAUCCCGUCCGAUUUGAGAAGUUAAGCAUCGUCGAGCCACAUCAGUACUGAGGUUGGAGACAACUUGGGAACCUGUAGUGCUGUAGUCU